GCUGACUCUCUUUUCGGACUCAGCCCGCCUGCACCCAGGUGAAAUAAACAGCCAUGUUGCUCACACAAAGCCUGUUUGGUGGUCUCUUCACAGGGACACGGAUGAAAUUUGGUGCCGUGACUCGGAUCGGGGAACCUCCCUUAGGAGAUCAAUCCCCUGUACUCCUUUUCUUUGCCCUGUGAGAAAGAUCCACCUAUGACCUCAGGUCCUCAGACCGACCAGCCCAAGGAACAUCUCACCAAUUUUAAAUCAGACCUUGAAGAUUUGUUGUUCAAGGAGAAACUGAAGAGCAAGAAGGAAAGUGAGAGCCAGCAAUACCAGCAGAGCCAGAUCUGAGCUGGGAGAAGGGGAGAAAGUUUGUGAAGAGGAGAUCGGUGACCUGGGCUCCUUAUGUGCCUGAAAGAGUUUGAGUUUCCUGUUAACUCCAAAUCAACAGUAUUUUCAACAAGAAAUGUGCAAUUGAAAUCAAGUGCUGUUUAAGUGCAGCUAGGAUUUCCACAGGAAGACACUUGCAGUGAACAGAGUUAUGGAGCAGCAAAAACACAGAUCUAUUUGGAAAAAGAGAAAACAUAUGCGUUGUAUUUUGCUUCAAUUAUAAAAUACCAUCCUCUCAAAGGUGGUUCUAAAUUACAAAGGACUUUGAUUUCUAGGUAGAUUCUGGGUAGAGACUUCCUUUCAUAUUGAGGCAUUAAUGACACCUUUUAACCUGGGAAGCAAUAUGACUGGAGUUGUACUUUGAGAAGAUUAAUCAGGUUUGGUUGCAGAAUGAAAGAGAAGAUGAAGUCAAGAGAUUGGUUUAGAGGCUCUAGCAGAAGCUUAGUCAUAUUUCAAAAUGAUCAAAUAUCAAGAAAAAUUCUGAGCUGCAUAACUUGUAUAAAGUAAUUUUCAGUGAUUUUUUUCAUGGUUAUGAUAAAAGAACUGGAUUAGCAGAAACUUUUACCCUGAAUCAAGAUUUAAUUUUUCUUUGAGCUCAUCUUAAGGAUAUCGGAACAUAGGGAGCAAACGAUGGUGUGGCUGCCUCAGUGCUUGAUUUUUAACGGUUUUGAAGAGAAUAGUUACAUUUCUUCUCCUAGUAAGAACUAAUAAAUACAUUAACAGAAAUGAAUUCCCUAUCCCUUUGUACACUGGUCUAUUUCUUCAAAACAUUAAAUACUAUUGAUAAGAUAUCACCUUUUA